AGAGUUUGAUCCUGGCUCAGGACGAACGCUGGCGGCGUGCUUAACACAUGCAAGUCGAGCGGGGAUUCGGGGCUUCGGCCUUGAAUUCUAGCGGCGGACGGGUGAGUAACGCGUGAACAAUCUGUCCCAGACAGGGGGAUAACAGAUGGAAACAUCUGCUAAUACCGCAUAAGACCACGACACCACAUGGUGAUGGGGUAAAAGAAUUAUCGGUUUGGGGUGAGUUCGCGUCCGAUUAGCUAGUUGGUGAGGUAACGGCCCACCAAGGCGACGAUCAGUAGCCGGUCUGAGAGGAUGAACGGCCACAUUGGGACUGAGAUACGGCCCAGACUCCUACGGGAGGCAGCAGUGGGGAAUAUUGGGCAAUGGGGGAAACCCUGACCCAGCAACGCCGCGAGAAGGAAGAAAGACCUUCGGAUAGUAAACUUCUUUUACCAGGGACGAAGAACGAGAUGGUACCUGGAGAAAAAGCAACGGCUAACUACGUGCCUGCAGCCGCGGUAAUACGUAGGUUGCAAGCGUUGUCCGGAUUUACUGGGUGUAAAGGGCGUGUAGGCGGAGAUGCAAGCUGGGAGUGAAAUCCCGGGGCUCAACCCCGGAACUGCUUUCAAAACUGCAUCCCUUGAGUAUCGGAGAGGCACGCCGAAUUCCUAGUGUAGCGGUGAAAUGCGUAGAUAUUAGGAGGAACACCAGUGGCGAAGGCGGCUUGCUGGACGACAACUGACGCUGAGGCGCGAAAGCGUGGGGAGCAAACAGGAUUAGAUACCCUGGUAGUCCACGCUGUAAACGAUGAAUAAUAGGUGUGGGAGGACUGACCCCUUCCGUGCCACAGGUUAACACAAAAAGUUUUCCCCCUGGGGAGUUCACCCGCAAGGGUUGAAACUAAAGGAAAUUGACGGGGGCCCGCACAAGCGUGGGAUUAUGGGGUUUAUUUCGGACGCAACGCGAAGACCCUUACCAGGGUUUGACAUCCAACUAACGAAGUUAGAGAGACAUUAGGUGCCCUUCGGGGAAAGUUGAGACAGGUGGUGCAUGGUUGUCGUCAGCUCGUGUCGUGAGAUGUUGGGUUAAGUCCCGUAACGAGCGCAACCCCUAUUGUUAGUUGCUACGCAAGAGCACUCUAGCGAGACUGCCGUUGACAAAACGGAGGAAGGCGGGGACGACGUCAAAUCAUCAUGCCCCUUAUAUCCUGGGCUACACACGUAAUACAAUGGUGGUAAACAGAGGGAAGCAAAACCGCGAGGUGGAGCAAAUCCCUAAAAGCCAUCUCAGUUCGGAUUGCAGGCUGCAACUCGCCUGCAUGAAGCUGGAAUUGCUAGUAAUCGCGGAUCAGCAUGCCGCGGUGAAUACGUUCCCGGGCCUUGCACACAAGGCCCGUCA
rnacentral:rRNA from 1 species